rnacentral:rRNA from 1 species
UCCAGACUCCUACGGGAGGCAGCAGUGGGGGAUAUUGCACAAUGGGGGGAACCCUGAUGCAGCGACGCCGCGUGGGUGAAGGAGUGCUUCGGCAUGUAAAGCCCUAUCGGCAGGGAAGAAGCAAGACGGUACCUGACUAAGAAGCCCCGGCUAACUACGUGCCAGCAGCCGCGGUAAUACGUAGGGGGCAAGCGUUAUCCGGAUUUACUGGGUGUAAAGGGAGCGUAGACGGCAGUGCAAGUCCGGAGUGAAAGCCCGGGGCUCAACCCUGGGACUGCUCUGGAAACUGUACGGCUGGAGUGCAGGAGAGGUAAGUGGAAUUCCUAGUGUAGCGGUGAAAUGCGUAGAUAUUAGGAGGAACACCAGUGACGAAGGCGGCUUACUGGACUGUAACUGACGUUGAGGCUCGAAAGCGUGGGGAGCAGACAGGAUUAGAUACCCCGGUA